AGCGAACGCUGGCGGCGUGCUUAACACAUGCAAGUCGAACGUGAAAGGGAGCAAUCCCAAGUAAAGUGGCGUACGGGUGAGUAACGCGUAGGUAAUCUACCCCAGAGUCUGGAAUAACCUGCCGAAAGGCGGGCUAAUACUGGAUAGAGCGACGGAAUCCGCAAUUGGGUUUUUCGGGAAAGGGAGGAAGCAAUUCCCCUUGCUCUGGGAUGAGCCUGCGUCUCAUUAGCUAGUUGGUGGGGUAACGGCCCACCAAGGCAUUGAUGAGUAGCCAGUCUGAGAGGAUGAACCGCCACACUGGAACUGAAACACGGUCCAGACUCCUACGGGAGGCAGCAGUGGGGAAUCUUGAGCAAUGGACGAAAGUCUGACGCAGCCACGCCGCGUGAGUGAAGAAGGCCUUCGGGUUGUAAAGCUCUGUCGAGCGGGACGAAAAAUCAUUAGGUGAAUAGCCUAGUGAUCUGACGGUACCGCUAAAGGAAGCACCGGCUAACUCCGUGCCAGCAGCCGCGGUAACAC
rnacentral:rRNA from 1 species